CAGCAGUAGCCGCGGGAAUACGUAGGUGGCAAGCGUUGUCCGGAAUUAUUGGGCGUAAAGGGCUCGCAGGCGGUUUCUUAAGUCUGAUGUGAAAGCCCCCGGCUCAACCGGGGAGGGUCAUUGGAAACUGGGAAACUUGAGUGCAGAAGAGGAGAGUGGAAUUCCACGUGUAGCGGUGAAAUGCGUAGAGAUGUGGAGGAACACCAGUGGCGAAGGCGACCCUCUGGUCUGUAACUGACGCUGAGGAGCGAAAGCGUGGGGAGCGAACAGGAUUAGAUACCCCCGUAGUCCCUGUCUCUUAUAC
rnacentral:rRNA from 1 species